UCCGGUGUGGUGUAUCGGCUAACAUUACCGCCUCUCAAUUUUACGUAAGCUGGUCGCGGUAGCGCGGGGUUCGACUCCCCGCACCGGAA